AGUGAACGCUGGCGGUAGGCCUAACACAUGCAAGUCGAACGGCAGCACAGUAAGAGCUUGCUCUUACGGGUGGCGAGUGGCGGACGGGUGAGGAAUACAUCGGAAUCUACUUUUUCGUGGGGGACAACGUAGGGAAACUUACGCUAAUACCGCAUACGACCUACGGGUGAAAGCAGGGGAUCUUCGGACCUUGCGCGACUGAAUGAGCCGAUGUCGGAUUAGCUAGUUGGCGGGGUAAAGGCCCACCAAGGCGACGAUCCGUAGCUGGUCUGAGAGGAUGAUCAGCCACACUGGAACUGAGACACGGUCCAGACUCCUACGGGAGGCAGCAGUGGGGAAUAUUGGACAAUGGGCGCAAGCCUGAUCCAGCCAUACCGCGUGAGUGAAGAAGGCCUUCGGGUUGUAAAGCCCUUUUGUUGGGAAAGAAAAGCAGCAGGUUAAUACCCCGCUGUUCUGACGGUACCCAAAGAAUAAGCACCGGCUAACUUCGUG
rnacentral:rRNA from 1 species